CUCAACGAAAGCUAAAAUGCUAUCUUUUCCCCAUUUUUCACUUUUCUAUUUCUUACCUAAAAGUGAAACUUGUUUUCUCUCAAAACUUCUCUACCCCUGCAUCUCUCUACCAUGGGAGAUGGAAAGUAUCGCUCUGGCCAACGAACCGUGAAUCGGUGGCCACCAACGGCUAAGCUAAACCCAAAACUUUCCCUCCUCAAGCCUAGAACCUAAAAACGACUCAGUUCCAACCCUAACUCACCCAAAGAACUUUGAAAACCAAAAAAAAAAACUUAAGAUAAAAAUCCCUCUUUCAUGAUCCUUUGAACCUCUCUAUACAGAUCUAUGAGCAUGCAAGGCAUUACCUUCGAGAAAACGGAUUUUUUUGCUCUAGUGAGAAAGGUCGAAUCCUCAAACGAGGAAAGGCCCUUGACUUUUCUUUGUUUGUCUUUCUUUUUUUGGCUUUGCGGUCUGAUCGAGGAGGGUACAACGUCAGGGACAAAGCCCUGAGAAGGCGGCAAUGAUGUGGGAGAAAGGAGGGGUAAAUACUUUUACCCCGAGGUCUUUUCGUCCUUCUCUGUGGUGACUGGCGUAGAAUUCGAUGGUGCUGACAUCAUCAGCUUGCAUGGGGAGCUAUCAAGGUUGCAUCUGGGGGCCGUUGGAUCAAAUCUGAUCCAACGACUAUGGCAUGAGCGGCGGUUUCCAUCCAUUAGGGUUGUAAUGAAACCAUAAAAUCAUUAGAUCCGGUCCCUUGGAUUUGAAUAGAUCCAACGGUUGGAAAUGUGGCGGCUGGGAACCCUUCUCCAAAACCCUAACAUGCUUCAAUCUAGUUCAUCAUAUCACUUCCAGAUCUGACAGUGAGGGACACACGACUCCAAGGAAAA